rnacentral:tRNA from 1 species
AUCAAGGUGUCUGAAUUAAAGGUUGUAAAUUGUAAAUUUACUUAUGAAAUUUAUUUUUCUCUUGAUA